UCAGUUAUCUGGAUGAGAACUCUCUAAUGAAUAACCGAAUAAGUUUUGACUUUCAGAGUCGGAAAUAUGAAAGCCUUAAAGGCUAUCUAAGUCUUCAUUAUCAAGUCAGAUAUCGUUAAGACUUCAAAGAGGAUGCCAGCCUGAAAAGCACGUUGUUGAAUUUAGAAUUACCAUAAACUUUCUACUAAGAACGAAUUAGUAAUAAUUGGAUUAGUUCUAGCUAACCAAUUAUUUCUUUAACUAUUAAAAGUGUUCAAUUCGGAUUUUGGUUUGACUUCGUAUGGUUUAUAAAUAUUAACUAUUAUAUUAAAUCAUAUUU
rnacentral:lncRNA from 1 species